rnacentral:rRNA from 1 species
CCUACGGGAGGCAGCAGUGAGGAAUAUUGGUCAAUGGACGAGAGUCUGAACCAGCCAAGUAGCGUGAAGGAUGACUGCCCUAUGGGUUGUAAACUUCUUUUAUAUGGGAAUAAAACGUUCCACGUGUGGGAUUUUGUAUGUACCAUAUGAAUAAGGAUCGGCUAACUCCGUGCCAGCAGCCGCGGUAAUACGGAGGAUCCGAGCGUUAUCCGGAUUUAUUGGGUGUAAAGGGAGCGUAGGUGGAUUGUUAAGUCAGUUGUGAAAGUUUGCGGCUCAACCGUAAAAUUGCAGUUGAAACUGGCAGUCUUGAGUACAGUAGAGGUGGGCGGAAUUCGUGGUGUAGCGGUGAAAUGCUUAGAGAUCACGAAGAACUCCGAUUGCGAAGGCAGUUCACUGGACUGCAACUGACACUGAGGCUCGAAAGUGUGGGUAUCAAACAGGAUUAGAUACCCUAGUAGUC